rnacentral:snRNA from 1 species
GGAUGUGAGGGCAAUGUGUGACAUCUGUCGCCCCACAGAUUGCCAGGCUUGAUUCUUCUGACCUGGCUGGCUAGGAGGUGCCCUAUCUUCCCUCACCAAGUCUGUGUGUGUCCCUCCUGAAGCUGUGCAUGUGUGCAGUAAAAGAGGAUGACCACUCCCAAUAGAGGAGGACAGUUUCCUCCUCAAGGAUUUAGGAGUAACUGCACUCCUUGAUUGGCACAUGGGAUCUAAAACUGAAAGUAAAAGUAUGCUAUUAUAAAAGAAAUACAUUUAAUCCAAAAAGAAAGUUAGAGAUU